GCAAGUCGAGCGGAACGACGGGAGCUUGCUCCCGGGCGUCGAGCGGCGGACGGGUGAGUAAGGCAUAGGAAUCUGCCCGGUAGUGGGGGAUAACCUGGGGAAACUCAGGCUAAUACCGCAUACGUCCUACGGGAGAAAGCAGGGGACCUUCGGGCCUUGCGCUAUCGGAUGAGCCUAUGUCGGAUUAGCUGGUUGGUGAGGUAAUGGCUCACCAAGGCGACGAUCCGUAGCUGGUCUGAGAGGAUGAUCAGCCACAUCGGGACUGAGACACGGCCCGAACUCCUACGGGAGGCAGCAGUGGGGAAUAUUGGACAAUGGGCGCAAGCCUGAUCCAGCCAUGCCGCGUGUGUGAAGAAGGCCUUCGGGUUGUAAAGCACUUUCAGUGGGGAAGAAGGCCUUUCGGUUAAUAGCCGGGAGGAGCGACAUCACCCACAGAAGAAGCACCGGCUAACUCCGUGCCAGCAGCCGCGGUAAUACGGAGGGUGCGAGCGUUAAUCGGAAUUACUGGGCGUAAAGCGCGCGUAGGCGGCGUGAUAAGCCGGUUGUGAAAGCCCCGGGCUCAACCUGGGAAUGGCAUCCGGAACUGUCAGGCUAGAGUGCAGGAGAGGAAGGUAGAAUUCCCGGUGUAGCGGUGAAAUGCGUAGAGAUCGGGAGGAAUACCAGUGGCGAAGGCGGCCUUCUGGACUGACACUGACGCUGAGGUGCGAAAGCGUGGGUAGCAAACAGGAUUAGAUACCCUGGUAGUCCACGCCGUAAACGAUGUCGACUAGCCGUUGGGGUCCUCGAGACCUUUGUGGCGCAGUUAACGCGAUAAGUCGACCGCCUGGGGAGUACGGCCGCAAGGUUAAAACUCAAAUGAAUUGACGGGGCCCGCACAGCGGUGGAGCAUGUGGUUUAAUUCGAUGCAACGCGAAGAACCUUACCUACC
rnacentral:rRNA from 2 species